AUUGAACGCUGGCGGCAUGCUUUACACAUGCAAGUCGAACGGUAACAGGGAGCUUGCUCCGCUGACGAGUGGCGAACGGGUGAGUAAUAUAUCGGAACGUACCCAAGAGUGGGGGAUAACGUAGCGAAAGUUACGCUAAUACCGCAUACGAUCUAUGGAUGAAAGCAGGGGAUCUUCGGACCUUGUGCUCCUGGAGCGGCCGAUAUCUGAUUAGCUAGUUGGUGAGGUAAAGGCUCACCAAGGCGACGAUCAGUAGCUGGUCUGAGAGGACGACCAGCCACACUGGAACUGAGACACGGUCCAGACUCCUACGGGAGGCAGCAGUGGGGAAUUUUGGACAAUGGGCGCAAGCCUGAUCUAGCAAUGCCGCGUGAGUGAAGAAGGCCUUCGGGUUGUAAAGCUCUUUUGUCAGGGAAGAAACGGGAGUGGCUAAUAUCCAUUCCUAAUGACGGUACCUGAAGAAUAAGCACCGGCUAACUACGUGCCAGCCGCCGCCGGUAA
rnacentral:rRNA from 1 species